CCUGUCCUGAAAGAGGCGAAACAGCGCCCCUGUGUGUGUGUGGGCAAACAGCGGUAUUGCACACUUUACCGGAGUCCCCCGAACGACACCAGGUGAAACUUCGCGUCUCUUGAUUAGAAGUUAUCCGAACGACGAGAGACGCUGCGGACACGUACAACACGAUAAACAAGAGGCGAAGUCAACAAACACAAGAAAAUACAGACAGUUCGAGGGCGGAGCCAAGGACUUCUGUCAACAAACAACAAACAAAAUGUCAGCUGGACAUGAAAUAUGACAAACCCUUCAUCUUCAUGAGAGGAAGGAGAGAGGGCUUCGUCUUCUAAUAUAUGGACACGGUCAUCUUGUACUUUUAAUUCGGAGCCAGGUCGUGGUGUGAAGCCGUGAUAACGAGGUCCCGCCCACACACACGCUCAACCAAUCGUCUGAGCCACUGGAGGGGAGCGUGGACCAAACAGAGGGUGCCAACCGUCCACCAGAUCCACUCCUGCACCUGCUGGGACAGAACCGCCCCCAGCCUGUGUUGGAGAGAGAUGUUAGGUCCAAUGUGCUGGAUGCAAAGAGGCAGGGAGAGUGGAGAGGGGCGAUUGUCACGGAGCGCGCAGGGCGAAUCAUACAAGCCACUUAGCCGCACUACAGCCAACCGGUACAAGGCAGCGAGAGGAGAAUCCAGCCGUGCCAGUGCAGUUUACCAGCUCGCUGAGAGGCGGGCAGCACCUGACAGAUGGCACUUUAGGAGCAUAAUCCCACAGGGCUGAAAAGAUCCUGCACAUGACGGGAAGCCAGUGCAGCCGGAGGAGACUGGAAUACUCAACAACUCACUACGAUGUUGAAUGAAAGAUCUAUCGAUGUGAAAUAUGAAGCUGCAAAGAUUCACCCAUCUGCAACUAUUUUGGGACUUGAGUAAAAAUGCCAAACAUUCACUGUUUUACUCAAAGUGAUUGGAUUUUUAUAUUUCAUUGUCAUGUAUGAUAUCAAACUGCUGGAUAAUUGUUAUGGCCUAUUGGUAUUUUUCUUCAUUCAAUCACUUAACUGAAAAAACUAUAAUAAUCUGAGGAUUAAUCAAUGAUGAAAAUAAUACUUGCAGCCAUAUGGAUACAUGUGUGUAUUAUUUUUAUAGACAGAAGCAGACAGAAUUUUAAAAAACUAAAGUGACAAAUUGUUAUUGUUUGUUUAAAAAUUGCUACAGAUCCAUCACAGACUCGAAUAAAAUUGUAUCUUUUGGAGAAAUUGC